UGGCUCAGGAUGAACGCUAGCGACAGGCCUAACACAUGCAAGUCGAGGGGCAGCGCGGAGUAGCAAUACGUUGGCGGCGACCGGCGCACGGGUGAGUAACACGUAUGCAACCAACCCAUAACAGGGGGAUAACCCGGAGAAAUCCGGACUAAUACCGCAUAAGACCACGAUAUCGCAUGAUAUAGAGGUCAAAUAUUUAUAGGUUAUGGGACGGGCAUGCGUCUGAUUAGCUGGUGGCGGGUAACGCCCACCAAGGCAUCGAUCAGUAGGGGUUCUGAGAGGAAGGUCCCCCACAUUGGAACUGAGACACGGUCCAAACUCCUACGGGAGGCAGCAGUGAGGAAUAUUGGUCAAUGGGCGAAAGCCUGAACCAGCCAUGUCGCGUGAAGGAAUGAAGGUCCUAUGGAUUGUAAACUUCUUUUGCAGGAGGGUAAAGUGAGCUACGUGUAGUUCAUUGCAAGUACCCUGCGAAUAAGCAUCGGCUAACUCCGUGCCAGCCGCUGC
rnacentral:rRNA from 1 species